rnacentral:rRNA from 1 species
UACGAAGGGUGCAAGCGUUAAUCGGAAUUACUGGGCGUAAAGCGUGCGUAGGCGGUUUCUUAAGUCUGCUGUGAAAGCCCCGGGCUCAACCUGGGAAUGGCGGUGGAUACUGAGAAGCUGGAGUACGGUAGAGGAAGGUGGAAUUCCCGGUGUAGCGGUGAAAUGCGUAGAGAUCGGGAGGAACACCAGUGGCGAAGGCGACUUCCUGGCCUGUUCUUGACGCUGAGGCGCGAAAGCUAGGGGAGCAAACGGG